rnacentral:lncRNA from 1 species
AUGGGGGGUCCUGGAACACCUCCUCCAAAGGCUCGGGCUGCGCGGGGCGGAGUGCUGCUCCCCAACGCCGGCUGGGCGAAGGCGAGGCACCCAGAGUCCACUCCUUGUCCGCCCUCCACUACAGGAUGGGGUUCCAGCUUGAGGGGGGCAGUCUCCGGGCCAACUUGGGGCGCCGCGGCUCCCACCGCGCACUCGCAGGCAAGACCACCCCCUCGCUCCCUGCCCAGCCCGCCCUUCGCUCUCACAGCGCUCAGCAAAGUUUCGGGGUCCCCGCGGCGCCUCCUAGCCCGAGGGGUCCGGAGUCCUGGCCCAUCGGGCCGCGGCGUCGGAGAGGGAAGUUUGUCCGGCCGGGGCUCGGCGACCGCUAACUUCGGGUGCGCCCGCCUCGGAACCCGGGUGAGCCGGGGGGACGCCCAGGAACCGCGGACCCAACGCGCCGCAACCAAAGCUCCACCGGCGGGGGAACUCGGCCCCGGCGCGGACGCUCCGGGCAGGACGCAGGGGUUGGGGCGGCCGGGGCUCAGGGAACCGCUGGGGACCCCGCGCCCGCCCCCACUGCCUCCGGGGAGAGCAUCUUCCCCGCCUCCCCCAGGGGCGGGCCCCGCUGGCCCCGCAGCUGCCGCAGAGGAGACCCCCGCCCCCGCAGCCCCCGCGCAGCCCCCUCUCCCACAAGCCCCUUCCUACCUGGGCCGGGUGCGGGCCCGGGGCUGGAGGCACGGUCUCGGGCGAGCGGAGCGCGCGCGCCCAGGUCCCCGGAGCGCGGCGGCGGCGGCGGCGGCUUCCCCUCCUUCCUCCUCCUCUUCCUCCUCCGGCUCGCUGGCUCCAGACAGAUCUCCUCCCCCUCGCGCCCUGCCCGCCCCUCCCGGAGCCCGCCGGGCUGGGCUCGGCCUGCGACGGGGAGCGGAGCGGAGCCGGCGGGAGCCGGGCUGCGGCGCUCACUGCGUCAAGCACGGGGCGAGCGCGGGGCGGCGGCGGGGACCGCGCGCUCCGAGCCCGGGGCCAGCCGGGCAGGCGGGGAAGCGGCGGCGGCGCCGGCGACGCCGAGGGGCCGGGCGGCUCGGGCUCCGGCUCGGGCGCGGGCGCGGUGGUGGCGGCCGUGGAAGCGCCGAGCUCCUGGAGACGUUGAAAUACAGCCUUGUUUUCUCCCAGAGGGCAGAGCCGGGCUGUUGCCCCCCCAAAAGGUGGGGCAUGGGAGACCCCAGGGCAGAUCUGAGGGGGGAGGUCAAUGGAGGGGCAUCUUCCUCUGGGUUGAAUAAAGCCACAGCCGCCGCCCCCCCCUCCCCCCACCUUCUCUCUCUGACAGACACUCAUAUGGUCCUGAAACCCCCACGCAGCCUCUGGUGUAGACACACACAUGACACCCACACAUUGCAGGUCUACACACGGGGCCCUCAUCUCACCCCACAUCCCAUUCCCCCACGUGGUGGUGUCUGUACAGAGAAGACAGGACCACCCCAAUCUUCCCCCCACCCGCACGGAAGCCCAGUUUAAGUGGGAGCUGGUGUAGCCAGGCAUCAUGCCUCCUGCUCCACACACCCCGAGUUCACACCUAACCCUCAUGAACACACACGUGCACACCCGUGUGGAAUUACAAAACGCACCUCCGGCUGUCAAGCAUGUGCGUGCUGCUUGCAUCGAUUGGCUUAGUCCUCACGGCCACCCUAGCCGAGAGUACUAUUAACACCUGCCAGUUCACAGGGACACCAGGACUCCAACUGCGCAGAAACUGGGGCAGCAAGAUUCUUGUUUUUAUUCAAACCAACCAACCACCACGUCAGGACCCAUCCCAGCGCUCUUUGGGGAGAGGCAAGCUGGGCCCUGAGGGUCCUUGAGGCCUGGGGCUAUGGGGCUGCCACCUUCCCAAGAUGUUAGGGGCCCCCCUCUGUGGCUGUGCCCCCGGACACCCUGGCAUUCUUUGGCCAAGAACUUGCCACGUCCCAUCUUCCGCCAGACGGUGAGCUCAGGGGAGCAGGGCAGCCUGACUCACCCUUGAGUCCUAGUGCCGCACUCCGGAGCAGCACAGAGGAGGGACAUGUCUCUGCACCACUGAGGUUGGCUCCUCUCUCCUCUAAGGAUGGCCUGGUUGGGAGUAACUGACCCAGGAAGGUCAGUCACCUGAGGCUGUGCCUGGAAGGAGUGAGGGACACAGUGGCUGGGAUUAAGGUGGAGGAGAAGAACCCUCCCCUCACCCAUCCUGAGGAAUGGUACCCAGAGAAAAAUAGUAGCUGUGCCCAGAACUUCACAGCAACAGCAAAAAAUCACCCAUAAACUCCAAAAGCCGUAACAGAAAAGAAUCAGUAAAAGAAACAAUAUGUCCAACUUACAUCCCACACAAAGAGCCAAUGUCCUCAUAUGUAAAGAGCACUUACAAAUCAAUAAGAAAAAUACCAAGGAAGGGGGGAAAAUGGGCAGAGGGUUAUGAACAGAAAAAGAAAUUAAAAAGAACACUUAAACAUACAAAAAGUGCCUGGUCUCACACUUAAUAACAGAAAUGCAAAUCAAAACUACUCUGAGAGAUGAUUUUUCAUCCAUCAGGUGGGCAAAGAGUGAAAAGUUUAAUGACGCACCCUGUUGCAAUAGUGUCGGGGCGCAGACACUCUUGGAACCUCUGCAACAAUGUCAAAAUUCCCAAUCCACAUACCCUCUGGCCCAGCACUUCCUUCCAGGAAUCCGUCCUCCAGACACUGCUCGCAAAUGUGAAAAAUGAUGUAUUACUGUGUACAAGGUUAUUCUCCGAAGCACUGUUUGUAACAGCAGCACAUUGGAACCGUCCGGAGUGUCCGUGGAUGAUGGAGCACUUAGAUGCAUCCUGGCUCAUCCACACAGAUCGCGUGCAGCCGGGCAAGCACGGGCUGAUUUAGCGCAUCUCUGAGGUAUGGUCUAUAGGGGAAAAAACAACGGGCAGAACGGGGUUGGUUUGUUUUUUUACAUUUGUGUGCAAAAAGGUAAAACAAAAUCACAUAUUAUUUGCUUGUACGGGCACAGGCGGAACUGUGGGAGAAGACCCAGGACUCGAAGCAGCGGUGCCUGCCGUAGGAAAUGGAUGGCUGGGAGGCAAGGAGAGAGGGCAUCGAAGAGGUCUACGUAAAAAUGACUUUAGAGGCCGGCCCGGUGGCGCAGCGGUUAAGUUUGCAUGAUCCGCUUUGGUGGCCCGGGGUUCACCAGUUCAGAUCCUGGGUGCGGACAUGGCACCGCUUGGCAAGCCAUGCUGUGGUAGGCAUCCCAUGUAUACAGUAGAGGAAGAUGGGCACGGAUGUUAGCUCAGGGCCAGUCUUCCUCAGCAAAAAGGAGGAGGAUUGGCAGCAGAUGUUAGCUCAGGGCUAAUCUUCCUCAAAAAAAAAAAAAAAUGUGUCUAAUGCUUUAUUUAUUGACAGAUAGUGAAAUUCACCAUUCUCAAGGGUACAGUUCUAUGAGUUAGCAAAGGUAUCCAUCCGUGUCAUCACCACCCCAAUCCAGAGAGUGACAUUUCCAUCACCCCAGAAAAUGAGACUUGCUUGUUACUGUGUCCCCAUGUCUCCCAUUUGAAUUGCGUACAGUGUACAUGUUUCCUUUUGUAAUAAAUUUAAAUACGAAAGUUAAAAUGAAAGAUUG